rnacentral:rRNA from 1 species
UACGGAGGGUGCUAGCGUUGUUCGGAAUCACUGGGCGUAAAGGGCGUGUAGGCGGUCUGUUAAGUCUGAUGUGAAAUCCCCUCGCUCAACGAGGGAACUGCGUCGGAUACUGGCAGACUCGAGUACCGGAGAGGAAGGUGGAAUUCCCGGUGUAGCGGUGAAAUGCGUAGAGAUCCGGAGGAACACCAGUGGCGAAGGCGACACGCUGGGCCGUACCUGACACUGAACCGCGACAGCAUGGGGAGCAAACAGG